CAACUAUUUAAAAAAUAAAAGUCCAAACUGAUUUUAACUCAAACCCGAACCCAAAUCCAAGCCCAAGCCCAAACACAAGCCCAGCUUUAUAACUCAAACCCUAGUCCUCUAACAAAACGGAAAAAGAAACCCUGGAUCAUAUUUGUCGGCUCCUCUCUGUUCUCUCCUCCUUCAGAUCGAGAUCGGCUCCUCUCUCCUCCUUCAGAUCCGACUCCAUGUGGAUUCUGGGGCUAGGGUUUUCACCGUUCUCCCUCGAAUCUCGUCAUCGACUCGUCCCUCCAAGCUCGUCGUCCCUCGAAGGCUGGAAAUUGUUUCGUCGAGCUCUGAUUUCGUCGUCGAGGAGUUGGUUUUCGACGUCGAUCUCUGAUUUCGUCGUCGAGGAGUUGGGUUUUCGUCGUCGAUCUCUGAUUUCGAGCUCUGAUUUCGUCGUCGAGGAGUUGGGUUUUUCGUCGUCGAGCUCUGAUUUCGUCGUCGAGGAGUUGGGUUUUCGUCGUCGAGCUCGAAGGUGGUAAAGGGCCUAAAGGCUCAAUCGCUUCAGCUACCAAAAGGAGAAGACCAGAAUUGUGCCAAUGAUCAAAUUUUGAAUGUAACUGGAAUUUUUUAUCUGUUGCAGUCUGUUCCAACAUUCAAUCUCAGUACCUGAUUGAUUGAUCUGUCUUUAGCAUGGUGUGGCUCUUAGCUUUGUCCAUCAUUGUGCUUUAUCCCUCGAUUGCUCCUUAGGUAUCAGUGCAAGUGCUCGAACAAGCCUUCACUUCUGACCACUGCAAAAGAGAUUAAUUACUUUUGUGUAUUGUUUGGAGAGAUUUUCAGCUUUGCCAGUCCUAAUAUGUUUGAGACUAUAUAUACAUAUGGAAAUCACAACCUAUUGGAGGAGUCUGUCAUUGAUAUCUCCACGCAUUGACUAAUUAAAUGUGGACCUGAGUACGUUAAGAGAUGCUCUGCGACAUCGAACAAGAUUCCUUGGGAAGGAAAGCCCAAGCUAUCCUUGAAACAAACUAAUAUGUCUCUAUUAAUUGUUUCCAUCUUCCACUUUGCCGCAAAAAAUUUCAAAUGAAUGAAUGGAUAAUCAACAAUUUCAUUAUGCAUCUAAUUUGUUGUUCUCUGAUUCUUCUGCUGUUCAGCUGUACUGACACUAAUAUGCUAUUCGAUAAAAUGGUACAUGUAUUAUACUCUUUACAAAAUCCUUGAAUUGCAUAGCAUAGGAUGUGACAGGUGGGACGCUCUCAAGAGUUCAGGGGGAAGAGUGUAGAGAUUGCGCUAUAAGUAUCCUGGCCACCGGAGGCAUUUACGAUACCGAGGUUGCAGUCAGCUCAUGACCAGCAGUGAAUGAGAACGGGAGUGAACAAGAACUGGAUGAUUCAUUACGUUUAUGUAAGAAAAUAGUAAAUGUAAGGUGGCUUGCGUUGUGAAAUUUGUAAAGCUAAGACCCUGAGAGCUUCCUUGAUAGUUUCUUUUGGCAUCUCCACACAGAAGGCUCGGGCAUGUUCAUAAACAUAACGGCGUGCAACAAAAGAGGUUACAACAUAUGAAACCUGAUAAUCGGCCAGCAAGUAAUAGCCCAACCGUUCCGAAAGCAACUAUUGGGCUUUGAUCCACUACUCCUUAAUUGGGCCGUACAAACAGCCCGGGGGAUUUAAAGAACGAGAGGAUGAGAAGCAAAGAUAUCUUGAGCGGAUAAGGAUUAGGUGGCGACCACUUCUCAUCCAAUGAGAUUGCAUGCAUGGAUUCCAAAUCCACAGCCUCUCAAAUUCUAUGCCUCUUAUCUUCCUCUACUAAUAAUUUUUGGCUUAAUCUCCUACUUCUUCAUAGGAGAAGUUGACAAAGGGAGCAAAUAAUGGCAAGUGCUCCAAUGGCCAGCCAACUCAAGAGUAGCUUUAUUUCA